ensembl:piRNA 21ur-4683 ncRNA
UUAGUGUUGAAGGUACACUUA